CCUGGUUGAUCCUGCCAGUAAUCAUAUGCUUGUCUCAAAGAUUAAGCCAUGCAUGUCUAAGUACAUGCCGAAAUAAGGCGAAACCGCGAAUGGCUCAUUAAAUCAGUUAUGGUUCCUUAGAUCGUUUCUUCCUACUUGGAUAACUGUGGCAAUUCUAGAGCUAAUACAUGCAGUGAGCCUGGAGCCCUUUGGGUAACGGGUGCUUUUAUUAGACCAAGAUCGAUCGGGUUUCGGCCCGUAUUGUGUGGUGACUCUGGAUAACUUUGUGCUGAUCGCAUGGCCACGAGCCGGCGACGUUUCUUUCAAGUGUCUGCCUUAUCAACUUUCGAUGGUAGGUUACUUGCUUACCAUGGUUGUUACGGGUAACGGAGAAUCAGGGUUCGAUUCCGGAGAGGGAGCCUGAGAAACGGCUACCACAUCCAAGGAAGGCAGCAGGCGCGCAAAUUACCCACUCCCGGCACGGGGAGGUAGUGACGAAAAAUAACAAUACGGGACUCUUUUGAGGCCCCGUAAUUGAAAUGAGUACACUCUAAAUCCUUUAACGAGGAUCAAUUGGAGGGCAAGUCUGGUGCCAGCAGCCGCGGUAAUUCCAGCUCCAAUAGCGUAUACUAAAGCUGCUGCGGUUAAAAAGCUCGUAGUUGGAUCUCAGUUCCAGACGAGUAGUGCAUCUACCCGAUGCGACGGCUCGGACUGAACAUCAUGCCGGUUCUUUCUUGGUGCACUUCAUUGUGUGCCUCGAGAUGGCCGGUGCUUUUACUUUGAAAAAAUUAGAGUGCUCAACGCAGGCGAGUCGCCUGAAUAAACUUGCAUGGAAUAAUAGAACAAGACCUCGUUUCUGUUCUGUUGGUUUUUGGAAUACGAGGUAAUGAUUAAGAGGGACGGACGGGGGCAUUCGUAUUGCGGCGCUAGAGGUGAAAUUCUUGGACCGUCGCAAGACGAACUACUGCGAAAGCAUUUGCCAAGAAUGUUUUCAUUGAUCAAGAACGAAAGUCAGAGGUUCGAAGGCGAUCAGAUACCGCCCUAGUUCUGACCAUAAACGAUGCCAACCAGCGAUCCGCCUGAGUUACUCAAAUGACUCGGCGGGCAGCUUCCGGGAAACCAAAGUAUUUGGGUUCCGGGGGAAGUAUGGUUGCAAAGCUGAAACUUAAAGGAAUUGACGGAAGGGCGGCACCCACAGGAGGUGAGGCCUGACGGACUUAAUUUACUCAACACGGGAAAACUUACCCGGCCCGGACACUGGGAGGAUUGACAGAUUGAGAGCUCUUUCUUGAUUCGGUGGAUGGUGGUGCAUGGCCGUUCUUAGUUGGUGGAGCGAUUUGUCUGGUUAAUUCCGAUAACGAACGAGACUCUAGCCUAUUAAAUAGGUGCGGGGUUCCCAGCACCUUACAACCUUCUUAGAGGGACAAGCGGCUCCUAGCCGCACGAAACAGAGCAAUAACAGGUCUGUGAUGCCCUUAGAUGUCCGGGGCCGCACGCGCGCUACACUGAAGGAAGCAGCGUGUCUUUAUCCCUGUCUGAAAAGACUGGGUAACCCGUGGAACUUCUUUCGUGAUUGGGAUAGGGGCUUGCAAUUGUUCCCCUUGAACGAGGAAUUCCCAGUAAGCGCGAGUCAUAAGCUCGCAUUGAUUACGUCCCUGCCCUUUGUACACACCGCCCGUCGCUACUACCGAUUGAAUGAUUUAGUGAGGUCUUCGGACCGAUGUCCGGCGCGGCCUUUCGGUUGCGCCGGUCUGUUGGAAAGAUGACCAAACUUGAUCAUUUAGAGGAAGUGAAAAGUCGUAAGCAAGGUUUCGCUCGGUGAAAAGCCUGCGGAAG
rnacentral:rRNA from 1 species